GAUUUUUUCGGAGACAUCCGAUAAAAUUAAUAUGAUACAGAGAAAAUUAACAUGAUCCUUGCGUAAGGAUGAUACACACAAAUUAAAAACAAAAUUUU